CCUUUUGUUUUCAAGUUAUUAUAAUGACUGUUAAUCAUUAGGUCGGCGGUUCGAGUCCGUCCCGGGGAGCCA
rnacentral:tRNA from 1 species